rnacentral:rRNA from 1 species
AUUGAACGCUGGCGGCAGGCCUAACACAUGCAAGUCGGACGGUAGCACAGAGGAGCUUGCUCCUCGGGUGACGAGUGGCGGACGGGUGAGUAAUGUCUGGGGAUCUGCCCGAUAGAGGGGGAUAACCACUGGAAACGGUGGCUAAUACCGCAUAACGUCGCAAGACCAAAGAGGGGGACCUUCGGGCCUCUCACUAUCGGAUGAACCCAGAUGGGAUUAGCUAGUAGGCGGGGUAACGGCCCACCUAGGCGACGAUCCCUAGCUUGUCUGAGAGGAUGACCAGCCACACUGGGAGUGAGACACGGUCCAGACUCCGACGGGAGGCAGCAGUGGGGAAUAUUGCACAAUGGGCGCAAGCCUGAUGCAGCCAUGCCGCGUGUAUGAAGAAGGCCUUCGGGUUGUAAAGUACUUUCAGCGGGGAGGAAAGCGAUAAGGUUAAUAACCUUGUCGAUUGACGUUACCCGUAGAAUAAGCAUCUGCUAACCACGUGCCAGCCGCCGCAGUAA